UGAGGAAUAUUGGACAAUGGAGGCAACUCUGAUCCAGCCAUGCCGCGUGCAGGAUGACUGCCCUAUGGGUUGUAAACUGCUUUUAUAUAGGAAGAAACACUCCCACGUGUGGGGGCUUGACGGUACUAUAUGAAUAAGGAUCGGCUAACUCCGUGCCAGCAGCCGCGGUAAUACGGAGGAUCCAAGCGUUAUCCGGAAUCAUUGGGUUUAAAGGGUCCGCAGGCGGCCUGUUAAGUCAGAGGUGAAAGCCAACAGCUCAACUGUUGAACUGCCUUUGAUACUGAUAGGCUUGAGUUAUUGUGAAGUGGUUAGAAUGUGUGGUGUAGCGGUGAAAUGCUUAGAUAUCACACAGAAUACCCAUUGCGAAGGCAGAUCACUAACAAUAUACUGACGCUCAUGGACGAAAGCGUGGGGAGCGAACGGG
rnacentral:rRNA from 1 species